UAUUGGGAACAUCAUAUACAUAUACCUGCAACAAUUAGACUAAAAUAAGCGAAGGGUGAGAUAAAUAAUUUAAGCAGUAGAGGAACAACAGAAGACAUGUUCAUAUAUAUGUGUGUGUGUGUGGAUUCUUGUUGCAGGAGAGGGGUAGCCCAGGGAAAGAGAGGAGCAUUAGAAGAGAUGUAUAGGAACUUCUGUCGUGGGAGAGAUGACGCCUUGUGCAGCAGUAGAAGACAAUUUGAGCAGUAGGCAUCAUCUCUCCUCGACAGAAGCUCCUUCAAUUUCUUCAAAAUGUACUUGAUUUUAAGCCCAUCUUCUACUUUUGAGAGGUAAGCACUUCCUUUCUUCGUUGUUUUUUCAAAUAGUUUGUAGCUUUGGUUCUGAUUGUUGGGUAUGUGUGUGUGUGUUUUGAAUUUCUUUGUUUCAUUGUUCAUAUGAUAUACUGAUAAGAAAUAAAAUAGAACAUGUGUGUGUACGUUGAAUUUUCUUUGUUUCAUUGUUCAUAAGAUAUAGUAAGCAAAAAAAUAGAACAUGAAGAGAACUGACAAUCUUUCAAUUUCCAAGAUUUAAAAGUAUUCAUUUCAAGUUAGGAAUUAGGAGAUUUGAGGUAAGUUUCUAUAUUAUAUGAUAUUGCUAUGAAAAGCCAAAUAUAAACUUUCAAGCUAGUAGAGUUUUCAGAAAGAGUUGACGCUAUGUGAUUUUGUACCUUUUGAUUUUGGGAUCAGGUCAGUUUGGAUUGUUUACUUUCUUGCAACACUGAAUCAAGCUUGACUGUGGAGAAUUUACAGUGCUUGAGAAAAGCAUCCUUUUUAUAAGGAUGUUUCUUUUAAGUGCUAUACCAUCCCCUUCUUUUAAUGUAAUUAAGACCUUAAAUCAGGGAUACCUCAUUUGGUUUACCAAAUUGACAUGGUUAAGGGUCCCUAAGAUCUAGUGUCUAGAUAAAAAUGGCUCAGUAGGCAAGCACCUAAGUGGUUAAAUUUGGUUAUUUUUCCUUCUUUAUUUCCUUUUGUUUUCACCAACCACAAGUUGAAAGCUGGAAGCUUAGUAAGACGAAGCAUGUUGAAUUAGUUACAGUGUGUUGGCUGCGUACCUCAAUUUUAACAAUCUCUUCCAAAAUUUUUAAGGUAGAUUACUUAAAGCUUCUUUAGUGAAACAAUUUAAUCAUAUUGAACAUGUGGGAGUUGACUCUUCAAAUAUAUUUUAAACAGAUGUCUCUGGUUGUAUUCUAGGCAGCCAGGUCUCCAAACAUUUAAAGUCAGUUUCAUACGAAAGAGCUAAAAUUUUGAGUAAAGAGAGAGAGGGACACACACCUUUUUGUGUCUAUAAGUAUAAAGGAAUGGUACGAGGCAUAAAAGCCAAGAAGAUCAUGGGGCUAAAAGAAACAAAGUUAUUGAAGUUGGGGGACUCUUGUCGCAGGAGGGAUGGCACUGGCUUUAUUAUGGCAAGCCACAUGCAGCAAGUGCCAUCAUUCUGAGACAAGAUACCCUUCAAUUUCUUCUUCCACCGUUCUUCAUUUUUCUUGAUUUCAUUAACACAAGGUACGAAUCUCCAUUACUUCUUCACCCUUAAAUGUCUCUCUUCUUUGUUUCUUGUUACUCUUCCUCUUCUUCUCCAGCCGAGCCACACCAUUUUUAUCACAUACAAGCAGCUUUGAGGCCAUCCAUGGUGAUAUGAUUCUUUUUACUGCAGCAUAUUUUAUUCCUUUACUGCUGUUGUUGUUGCAGCUACUGCUACUGCUUUUGUUGUUGUUGUUGUUGAUGAUGGUCUUGUUGCUGUUGUUGAUGCUGUUAUUGGCAAAUAUCACUUCUUAGCUGUUCCUUUACAACGUUUGUUUGUUUAUUAUUAUUAUUAUUAUUUUUUAACUAUUUCCUUGAGAUUAUUUUAUGUUCCGAGCUUCUCUAAGACAUGUUGAUUUCAAGCACAGGAAAUGUAGCUUAUUAAAUGAAAACGUACAAUCCAUUUAAUUAUCUAAUCAAUCACUUACAAGUAAAAAAUGCUUAAAUAAUCCGAUCAUAUAACUGCUUAAAAGGGAAUUUAAUUUUCUAGUUGAAGAGAUAUAUAUAUAUAUAUAUAUAUGUGUGUGUGUGUGUGUGUGUGAAUGUGGUAGUGAUAAUAAGGUUUAUGGUUAUUCGUCCACUUGGAUUUAAUCUCAGCCAGGUAUGGACAAGAGGAUAUGAAAAACGAAAUAAUGCAUAUAUUAAGACGUUUUUAGAUCAUCUCCAACUAAGUUAUUCUGAAAACAUGCAUAAACAAGUCAUAAAUUCGUACAAGGCAUGUAGGGUAGGAAUAUAUAUAGUUUUCUUAAUUCUGAGAAAAUAUAGUUGUUUAUUUAUUUGUCAUGGUAGGGAAGAAAUAGAGUGGGCUUCUAUAUUUGUAUAAUUUAUUAUGAACUUGUAAGAGUCUAUUUGUGUAGCUUGUCCCUAAUGAGCAUUCCAUUUUACCUAGUUCCCUCUUCCCCUGAUACUACCUACCUGUAAUGAUUUUCUAAAAGAGAAUUUUAAAAGUAUAGGCUUGGCUGUUUCAACUUUUUAAUUAAAAACUAGGACUAUUUACAAAUCCUUAUACAUAUAGGGAAGAAGCUAGCUAUGAAAUGAUCAGGUGGUCCAAUUAUUUGAUGAAGAUGUGCUUUUUAUGCUGAGUAGUGGAUCAAUAUACGCAGUAGCAGAGUUGCAUCAAGAGUGAUACUCUAUCAGCUUGGGGCCACAUCUUUGAUGACAUUAAACUUAUGCUGAAAAAGUAGCUGGUACUUGGGAAAUUGAUUGCUGCCUGCUUUUCAAUGACUAAUGAGGCUGCCAAGGCCUUGUCUUCUUGUAUCACACUCAACUGGAGGAGUCCAUGCCAUUUGCAUUGAAGAAUAUCCUCCUUUCGUACAACCAUUACUGUAGGUUUUGGCCUUAUUUGUGUGUCAUGCUCAAAUAUACCUCUUUUUUUUUAAUCAAAAUAUAAAGCAUCAUCUCUCCUUGUUAGAAGCAUACUCUUGAUUCAAACCCCUCUUACACCAAGCUCAAGGAAAGGAGAUCAUGUGGAGGUCUUGGAGUUACAGAAGAGGGGGGCACUCAGCAAAAUGGUAAGAACUCGAUGAGCUGAUCACAUGAACUGCACCUUGGUUUGCUUUCUUGUAAACCAUGCCCCCACCAGACUCCAUCUCAGUUCUCAACACUUGGGCGAGUAAUUAUUCGGCUAACAGCCAAUUCUUGGAAUUUUCUUGUCUCACCAAAAAGAAUAGUCAAAUCAUGAUUUUCCUUUAUUGAAGUGAGCUUUUUCUUUUUUCUUUUUUCGGGUUUGGUUUUUCAUUUUCCAUUCAGUGGUGGGGAAUUGAAUCUGUAUGGUGGUUUGGGUGGGAGGUAUUCAAUGAGGGGAUUUGGAUUUUAAUUUUUAGUUUAAAUGACUUGAAUAAAAUAAAAUUUUAUCA